AGGUACUCCUGGUGUCGUCCCUGGAAAAACUCUGGAACCUGGAACUUACACCACAGUAGGCACCACUGCAGCACCACAAGGCCAAGCAACUGGGAGUGUGACAGAAGCCACGACUCACACAGGAGGCAGUGGGACUACCCAGGGAAAACUGCCAGGAGGUAAGCUUUUUUAGGACGAAACCUGGGACUCUCAUCGUUUGUCUAUUUGUGUUGCUACAGUAAUCAAAUGAGUGGGGAGGAAUGUGAAAGAGGGACCUGCAUUUUCGCUGAGGCCAUAUUGUUAUGAUAUGAUAUCAACCGGAUAACUAUUCUGCUUGGGGAUUCCAAGACCUCAGAUGUCUCAGCCAGACUGUCCUCAGUAUUCUGGCUUACGAAGAUGUUCUCUUCCCUGCCCUCAAUGGGUAUAAGUGCACAUUGCCUAUAUCUCAACCUCUCAGUACUUCCAGUCCUCCUUACCCAGCUUACCUUCCCCACUACUUCCCUAAUAAGUACAUUUCUCUCAUUUACUUCUACAUAAUGUUUAUUGUUUAUUUUUAUCUCCCCUUACUAGCAAGCUUCGUGAAGGCAACUGAUUAUUAAAAUGCUCCAAGUUGUAACAAAGAUUAUUACUUACAAAGACUAAAGAUGUUUUAUUUCUUCCCUUAGGCACCUCUGGCACACCAGGUGCAUCUGUCCCUGGAAACAAAAUAGGUACCACUACAGCAGCUUCUCGCACUGCAGUUGAACCUGGGAGUUCAAACACAGAAGCUACAUCGCCCUCUAGAGGCAGUGGAACCACAGGAAUCAAUACAGGGGAAUCUAGUAGCCUAGUCACUGGCAUUCAAACAGGCUCUACUGGAGUGGCCCCUGGCAGGACCGUCUCACCUGGAAGUUCCAACACAGGUAAAUCAGUGAGGAAAUGGGUGCUUACAAUUUCUGUCUUAGGGCUAGCUCUGGAGCAAUAGCAUAUGAUACCUUUUUGUAAGACUUAAAUUUGUAUUGUGUUUUUCUCAUUAUCAUUUAGGCACCUUAAAUCCCCAUCCCCUCCACAAUCACCACACUGACAUCCACUUCCA